rnacentral:rRNA from 1 species
GAUGAACGCUGGCGGCGUGCCUAAUACAUGCAAGUCGAACGCAUAGCGAAAGGUGCUUGCACCUUUCAAGUGAGUGGCGAACGGGUGAGUAACACGUGGACAACCUGCCUCAAGGCUGGGGAUAACAUUUGGAAACAGAUGCUAAUACCGAAUAAAACUUAGUGUCGCAUGACACAAAGUUAAAAGGCGCUUCGGCGUCACCUAGAGAUGGAUCCGCGGUGCAUUAGUUAGUUGGUGGGGUAAAGGCCUACCAAGACAAUGAUGCAUAGCCGAGUUGAGAGACUGAUCGGCCACAUUGGGACUGAGACACGGCCCAAACUCCUACGGGAGGCUGCAGUAGGGAAUCUUCCACAAUGGGCGAAAGCCUGAUGGAGCAACGCCGCGUGUGUGAUGAAGGCUUUCGGGUCGUAAAGCACUGUUGUAUGGGAAGAACAGCUAGAAUAGGAAAUGAUUUUAGUUUGACGGUACCAUACCAGAAAGCGACGGCUAAAUACGUG